rnacentral:rRNA from 1 species
CGGCGAGUGAAGCGGCAACAGCUCAAAUUUGAAAUCUGGCCUCGGCCCGAGUUGUAAUUUGCAGAGGAUGCUUCUGGCGCGGUGCCUUCCGAGUUCCCUGGAACGGGACGCCACAGAGGGUGAGAGCCCCGUAUGGUCGGACACCAAGCCUGUGUGAAGCUCCUUCGACGAGUCGAGUAGUUUGGGAAUGCUGCUCUAAAUGGGAGGUAAAUCUCUUCUAAAGCUAAAUACCGGCCAGAGACCGAUAGCGCACAAGUAGAGUGAUCGAAAGAUGAAAAGCACCUUGAAAAGGGGGUUAAAUAGUACGUGAAAUUGUUGAAAGGGAAGCACUUGUGACCAGACUUGGGCCGGGCGGCUCAUCAGGGGUUCUCCCCUGUGCACUCCGCCCGGCACAGGCCAGCAUCGGUUCUCGUGGGGGGAUAAGACCGUCAGGAACGUAGCACCCUCCGGGGUGUGUUAUAGCCUGGCGGACGAUACCCCCGUGGGGACCGAGGUUCGCGCUCCGCAAGGAUGCUGGCGUAAUGGUCACCAGUGACCCGUCUUGAAACAC